GAGAGUCCAAGUCACCAGUUGAGUACCUCGACAGCCUCUGACAACAUCAUGUUCCGCCUCGUCUUCGCCGUCUUGCUGCUCUGCGCCGUCGCCCUCGCGGCCCCAGGCUUCGGUGGUUUUGGAGGCUUCGGAGGAUUUGGCCACGGUGGAUUCGGUGGCUUCGGACAUGGCGGUGGUUUUGGUCAUCACGGUGGAUUUGUUGGUGGAUUCGGGCGUGGUUUCGGAGGAGGAUUUGGACAUGGUUUUGGCCAUGGUGGAUUUUGGCGCUGAUGAGAAGUUGGGGAGAAAAAUUCUCCAAUUUCACUUGGUCACCUCAACUGGACGACUCGAUCGAACGAACACUUCCUCCUGCUAUUAUUUAUGAUUUUCUUUUGAACGAAUCAAAUAAAGAAUUGAAAUCUG